GACGAACGCUGGCGGCGUGCUUAACACAUGCAAGUCGAACGGAAAGGCCCUGCUUUUGUGGGGUGCUCAAGUGGCGAACGGGUGAGUAACACGUGAGUAACCUGCCCUUGACUUUGGGAUAACUUCAGGAAACUGGGGCUAAUACCGGAUAGGAGCUCCUGCUGCAUGGUGGGGGUUGGAAAGUUUCGGCGGUUGGGGAUGGACUCGCGGCUUAUCAGCUUGUUGGUGGGGUAGUGGCUUACCAAGGCUUUGACGGGUAGCCGGCCUGAGAGGGUGACCGGCCACAUUGGAACUGAGAUACGGCCCAGACUCCUACGGGAGGCAGCAGUGGGGAAUAUUGCACAAUGGGCGGAAGCCUAAUGCAGCAACGCCGCGUGCGGGAUGACGGCCUUCGGGUUGUAAACCGCUUUCGCCUGUGACGAAGCGUGAGUGACGGUAAUGGGUAAAGAAGCACCGGCUAACUACGUG
rnacentral:rRNA from 1 species